rnacentral:SRP_RNA from 1 species
UAGGCACAGCGGAACGGCAGAUACUUGCCGAACCCCGCCAGGUUCGAGAGGAAGCAACGGUAGGUGAGUUCCUCUGGGUGUUCCAAUGUGCCUUUCC